GGCACAGUGGUAGAGUGGUUAAUACGUGAGACUCGAAUUGCCCGACAUCUCAUGCCUUCGGGCGCGUAGGUUCGAAUCCUGCCUGUGUCG